ACUUAUUGCAUCAGAUUGGGAACUCAAGAAUGAUAAAUGGGAGUGUAAUUUUUGUGCAAGUCUCCACUCACUUAAUCCAUAUGAAUGGGGAACUCAAGCUUGAUAAAUAUGGGUGUAAGUUUCGUGCAAUGCAUCCAACCAAGUUAAAUGCACAAUUCAAAGUCCAAAUUGCCGCCUUAACUCGUGGGGACCAUAUGCAUUCAAUGAUGGCCGAA
rnacentral:lncRNA from 1 species